rnacentral:rRNA from 1 species
AUUGAACGCUGGCGGCAUGCCUUACACAUGCAAGUCGAACGGUAACAGGUCUUCGGAUGCUGACGAGUGGCGAACGGGUGAGUAAUACAUCGGAACGUGCCUAGUAGUGGGGGAUAACUACUCGAAAGAGUGGCUAAUACCGCAUGAGAUCUACGGAUGAAAGCAGGGGAUCGCAAGACCUUGUGCUACUAGAGCGGCCGAUGGCAGAUUAGGUAGUUGGUGGGAUAAAAGCUUACCAAGCCGACGAUCUGUAGCUGGUCUGAGAGGACGAUCAGCCACACUGGGACUGAGAAACGGCCCAGACUCCGACGGGAGGCAGCAGUGGGGAAUUUUGGACAAUGGGCGCAAGCCGGAUCCAGCAAUGCCGCGGGCAGGAUGAAGGCCUUCGGGUUGUAAACUGCUUUUGUACGGAACGAAAAGCCCUGGGUUAAUACCCUGGGGUCAUGACGGUACCGUAAGAAUAAGCACCGGCUAACUACGUGCCAGCCGCCGCCGUAAAAC